UGCCGAGGAAAACCUCGGCAGUUAACUGCAGCCGGUUUUUGAAUUCUUCGACAGUUAACUGCCGAGGAGGCA
rnacentral:pre_miRNA from 1 species